UCACAAGAGUUAGUCAAUGUGGCGAAGGUGUAUACCCAAGUCGGAACACUAAUGUUAA
rnacentral:ncRNA from 1 species